AGCUAAGAAUCUUCCGCAAUGGGCGAAAGCCUGACGGAGCGACGCCGCGUGAACGAAGAAGGCCGUGAGGUUGUAAAGUUCUUUUCUUGGGGAGGAAUAAGCAUGGCAGGGAAUGGCCGUGUGAUGACGUUAACCGAGGAAUAAGCCCCGGCUAAUUACGUGCCAGCAGCCGCGGUAACACGUAAGGGGCGAGCGUUGUUCGGAAUUAUUGGGCGUAAAGGGCGCGUAGGCGGAAAGCCAAGCCUGAUGUGAAAUACCCCGGCUCAACUGGGGAAACGCGUUGGGAACUGGUUUUCUUGAGUAUAAGAGGGGAUGUUGGAAUUCCAGGUGUAGGGGUGAAAUCUGUAGAUAUCUGGAAGAACACCGGUGGCGAAGGCGAACAUCUGGCUAUAUACUGACGCUGAGGCGCGAAAGCGUGGGGAGCGAACAGGAUUAGAUACCCUGGUAGUCCACGCUGUAAACGAUGUACACUAGGAGGUGGGUGGUAGCAUUCAUUUCCGGAGCUAACGCGUUAAGUGUACCGCCUGGGGAGUAUGCUCGCAAGGGUGAAACUCAAAGGAAUUGACGGGGGCCCGCACAAGCGGUGGAGCAUGUGGUUUAAUUCGAUGAUACGCGAGAAACCUUACCAGGACUUGACAUAUACCGGAAUUCUACAGAGAUGUAGGAGCUGCUUGCAGUCGGUAUACAGGUGCUGCAUGGUUGUCGUCAGCUCGUGCUGUGAAGUGUUGGGUUAAGUCCCGCAACGAGCGCAACCCCUGCUAUCUGUUACCAGCACGUGAAGGUGGGGACUCAGAUGGAACUGCCGGUGACAAACCGGAGGAAGGUGGGGACGACGUCAAAUCAUCAUGGCCCUUAUGUCCUGGGCUACACACGUGCUACAAUGGCCGGUACAAAGCGCAGCGAGGCGGCAACGUCAAGCGAAUCGCAAAAAGCCGGUCUCAGUACGGAUUGAAGUCUGAAACUCGACUUCAUGAAGUUGGAAUCGCUAGUAAUCGCGCAUCAGCAUGGCGCGGUGAAUACGUUCCCGGGCCUUGUACACACCGCCCGUCACACCACCCGAGUUGGGGGUACCAGAAGUAGUUGAGCGAACCCUUCGGGGGCGCAGACUACCAAGGUAUGGCUGGUAACUGGGGUG
rnacentral:rRNA from 1 species